AACGAACGCUGGCGGCAGGCCUAAUACAUGCAAGUCGAACGCUCGAAAGAGAGUGGCAGACGGGUGCGUAACACGUGGGAAUCUCCCUUCAGGUACGGAACAACAGUUGGAAACGACUGCUAAUACCGUAUGUGGACUUCGGUCGAAAGAUUUAUCGCCUGAGGAUGAGCCCGCGUCUGAUUAGCUAGUUGGUGAGGUAAUGGCUCACCAAGGCUACGAUCAGUAGCUGGUCUUAGAGGACGAUCAGCCACACUGGGACUGAGACACGGCCCAGACUCCUACGGGAGGCAGCAGUAGGGAAUAUUGGACAAUGGAGGAAACUCUGAUCCAGCCAUGCCGCGUGAGUGAUGAAGGCCUUCGGGUUGUAAAGCUCUUUGAUUGAAGACAAUAAUGAUGGUAUUCAAAAAACAAGCCCCGGCUAACUCUGUGCCAGCAGCCGCCGUAA
rnacentral:rRNA from 1 species